rnacentral:rRNA from 1 species
GACGAACGCUGGCGGCGUGCUUAACACAUGCAAGUCGAACGGAAAGGCCCUGCUUUUGUGGGGUGCUCGAGUGGCGAACGGGUGAGUAACACGUGAGUAACCUGCCCUUGACUUUGGGAUAACUUCAGGAAACUGGGGCUAAUACCGGAUAGGAGCUCCUGCUGCAUGGUGGUGGUUGGAAAGUUUCGGCGGUUGGGGAUGGACUCGCGGCUUAUCAGCUUGUUGGUGGGGUAGUGGCUUACCAAGGCUUUGACGGGUAGCCGGCCUGAGAGGGUGACCGGCCACAUUGGGACUGAGAUACGGCCCAGACUCCUACGGGAGGCAGCAGUGGGGAAUAUUGCAGAAUGGGCGGAAGCCUGAUGCAGCAACGCCGCGUGCGGGAUGACGGCCUUCGGGUUGUAAACCGCUUUCGCCUGUGACGAAGAGUGAGUGACGGUAAUGGGUAAAGAAGCAACGGCUAACUACGUG